GUUAAGUGCCAACCCCAUGCCUAAAAGGCAGGGGCUUGGUGGUUAACUCCACCUGACCAGACUAAUCGUUUAGAUUAAGCGUUUAAGUUCUUACCUUGGAAUGCUUGCCAGUUCCAAGCUCUAAA
rnacentral:sRNA from 24 species